rnacentral:rRNA from 1 species
ACGAACGCUGGCGGCAUGCCUAACACAUGCAAGUCGAACGAAGGCUUCGGCCUUAGUGGCGCACGGGUGCGUAACGCGUGGGAAUAUGCCUAUUGGUACGGAACAACGUUUGGAAACGAACGCUAAUACCGUAUGGUCCCUUCGGGGUAAAGAUUUAUCGCCAAUAGAUUAGCCCGCGCUAGAUUAGCUAGUUGGUGAGGUAAGAGCUCACCAAGGCGACGAUCUAUAGCUGGUCUGAGAGGACGAUCAGCCACACUGGGACUGAGACACGGCCCAGACUCCUACGGGAGGCAGCAGUUAGGAAUAUUGGACAAUGGGCGCAAGCCUGAUCCAGCCAUGCCGCGUGAGUGAUGAAGGCCUUCGGGUUGUAAAACUCUUUAGCCGAUGAAUAUAAUGACUGUAGUCGGAAAAUAAGCCCCGGCUAACUUCGU